UAUACAAUUGAUGUUUUUAAUAUGUUGAAUUAAUUGGAGUUUAUUUACUUUGGAUUUAAUAUUUUGUGUUUUUAGGUGAAAUUUAAAUUUUAAUUAAGUCUUGUUUUUAUUUCUCUUAAAAUCUUGAUUUAAACUAGGAUUAGAUACCCUAUUAUUUUGUUUAUAAAUUUUUUUGGGUAGUAUUAGGUAUGUUCUUUAAACCCAAAGAAUUUGGCGGUGUUUUAGUCUAUUUAGGGGAAUUUGCCCUGUGAUCGAUAAUCCUCGUUUUAUCUUACUUGAUUUUUAAGGUAUGUAUAUCUCCGUUAUAAGUUUAUUUUAUUAGACUAUUUACUUAAUAAUUUAUUAAUUAUUAUUUC
rnacentral:rRNA from 1 species